UCGGACGUGGUGCACGGUGCACGCCCGCUUGUCAUAAAGGAAGUGUGUUUUUAAUAAUUAAGCAGGAGACCUGGGUCCGACCCCCAGCAUCCGAA